rnacentral:rRNA from 1 species
CCUACGGGGGGCAGCAGUGAGGAAUAUUGGUCAAUGGGCGCGAGCCUGAACCAGCCAAGUAGCGUGAAGGAUGACUGCCCUAUGGGUUUUAAACUUCUUUUAUAAAGGAAUAAAGUGAGCCACGUGUGCCUUUUUGUAUGUACUUUAUGAAUAAGCAUCGGCUAACUCCGUGCCAGCAGCCGCGGUAAUACGGAGGAUCCGAGCGUUAUCCGGAUUUAUUGGGUUUAAAGGGAGCGUAGAUGGGUUGUUAAGUCAGUUGUGAAAGUCUGCGGCUCAACCGUAAAAGUGCAUUUGAUACUGGCAGACUUGAGUACGCGUGAGGUAGGCGGAAUUCGUGGUGUAGCGGUGAAAUGCUUAGAUAUCACGAAGAACUCCGAUUGCGAAGGCAGCGUACUAAAC